AUUGAACGCUGGCGGCAGGCCUAACACAUGCAAGUCGAACGAGUGGCGGACGGGUGAGUAAUGUCUGGGAAACUCCACGAUGGAGGGGGAUAACUCUUGGAAACGGUGGCUAAUAUCGCAUACCACCGCAUGUGCCCCGAUGGGAUUAUCUUGUAGGUGAGGUAACGGCUCACCUAGGCGACGAUCCGUAGCUGGUCUGUGAGGAUGAUCAGCCACACUGGAACUGAGACACGGUCCAGACUCCUACGUGAGGCAGCAGUGGGGAAUAUUGGACAAGGGGCGCAAGCCUGAUCCAGCCAUGCCGCGUGUGUGAAGAAGGCCUUCGGGUUGUAAAGCCCUUUUGUUGGGAAAGCGUUACCCGAAGAAUAAGCACCGGCUAACUUCGUGCCAGCAGCCGCGGUAAUAC
rnacentral:rRNA from 1 species